UUUGGAUGACAUUUGCCAACACGACGAUGACCAGAUGUUGAAAGUAACUCCGCUGGUUGUCGCGGUAAUCAUCCCAGAUCAAAUGAAUCAGGAACUCUGUGCGUUCGCAUUGAAGUCUAUGCGAUCGCAUCGUUCUUCCUGGCACAAAUC